GCGGCACAGAGGGAAGCCAGGUGGCGACACCGCGCGGAACCCGAAAGCCGUUCUCAGUUCGGAUCGGAGUCUGCAACCCGACUCCGUGAAGCUGGAUUCGCUAGUAAUCGCGCAUCAGCCAUGGCGCGGUGAAUACGUUCCCGGGCCUUGUACACACCGCCCGUCAAGCCAUGGGAGCCGGGGGUGCUUGAAGUGCGUCGCCGCAAGGCGCGCCCUAGAGCAAAACCGGUGACUGGGGCUAAGUCGUAACAAGGUACC
rnacentral:rRNA from 1 species